CAGCAGCCGCGGUAAUACCGGCGGCCCGAGUGGCGGUCACUAUUAUUGGGCUUAAAGCGUCCGUAGCCGGGUUGGGAAGUCCUCCGGGAAAUCUGGCCGCUUAACGGUCAGAAUGCCGGAGGAUACUCCCAGCCUAGGGAGCGGGAGAGGCCGAGGGGAUUCCCGGAGGAGGGGGGAAAUCCUAUAAUCCCGGGAGGACCACCUGUAGGGAAGGCGCUCGGCUGGAACGCGUCCGACGGUGAGGGACGAAGGCCAGGGGAGCAAACCGGAUUAGAUACCCGGGUAGUCCUGGCUGUAAACGAUGCGGACUUUGUGUCGGACAAGCUAUGAGCUUGUCCGGUGCCGGAGGGAAACCGUUAAGUCCGCCGCCUGGGGAGUACGGCCGCAAGGCUGAAACUUAAAGGAAUUGGCGGG
rnacentral:rRNA from 1 species